CUGCUCACUUGGGCAGCACAUAUACUAAAAAUGGGAAUGAUACAGAGAAGAUUAGCAUGGUCCCUGCACAAGGAUGACAUGAAAUUUGUGAAGUGUUCCAUUUAAAA
rnacentral:snRNA from 1 species